rnacentral:rRNA from 1 species
UACGGGGGGGGUAAGCGUUGUUCGGAAUUACUGGGCGUAAAGGGCUCGUAGGCGGCCAACUAAGUCAGACGUGAAAUCCCUCAGCUUAACUGGGGAACUGCGUCCGAUACUGGAUGGCUUGGAUUUGGGAGAGGGAUGCGGAAUUCCAGGUGUAGCGGUGAAAUGCGUAGAUAUUGGGAGGAACACCGGUGGCGAAGGCGGCCCCCUGGACCGGUACUGACGCUGAGGCGCGAAAGCGUGGGUAGCAAACGGG